rnacentral:rRNA from 1 species
GACCAUCUCAGUUCGGAUUGUAGUCUGNAACCCGACUACAUGAAGCUGGAAUCGCUAGUAAUCGCGGAUCAGCACGCCGCGGUGAAUACGUUCCCGGGCCUUGUACACACCGCCCGUCACACCAUGGGAGCCGGAAAUGCCCGAAGUCAGUGACCCAACCGCAAGGAGGGAGCUGCCGAAGGUGGAGCUGGUAACUGGGGUGAAGUCGUAACAAGGUACC